CUCUCUCCGCCACGCCCCAGCACCGGGUAGACACCGCAGCCACGUAACCAAGGAACCCCGAAUGAGGCGUUGGCCAGAUCACUAAAAAGCUUCUCCUUGAAAAAUACUCAGAAGAUGCAACACACACACACACACACGUGUGUGCACUUACACACGCGGACACCGUCUCACAUCAUCAGUGGGAAAAGUGAUAGAAUCUUGCUAAAGGCUGAUCAUACCAUAUUAAUCCGAUUCGCCAGAACUACUUUCUUCACUGAGCUCUCAGCCUGCUCCCAACCAGGUGUCUCCAGAACUUUUUCUCUCCGCCACCAACUCCGCCUCCAGACAGACCGCAGGUGCUUUCUGUCAUAGGGACUGGCGUGCCGCGGACAGUGUGACAAAGAAACUGUAUGAUGGAUAUGAGAACUUCGUAAGACCCAGCAGCAAACGGGGAGCGGCUGGCGAGCGCUCCACAGCCCCCAAGCGUGGGAGCUCUAGAUCGGAAUUUGUAAUUUGGAAUUGGAACGUGAGCGCCGGAACAGCUCUCCCAGCAACCACCUCUCCCAGCAACCACCUCAGCUGG
rnacentral:lncRNA from 10 species